GCCAGGUUGGAGCACCCUGGGCUGGUGGGAGGUGUCCCUGCCCAUGGCAGGGGUGGCACUGGAUGGGCUUUGAGGUCCUUCCAACCCAAACCAUUCC